rnacentral:rRNA from 1 species
CGAUCUGGCUCAGGAUGAACGCUAGCGACAGGCUUAACACAUGCAAGUCGAGGGGCAGCACGGAGUAGCAAUACAACUGGUGGCGACCGGCGCACGGGUGGGUAACGCGUAUGCAACCUACCUAUCAGAGGGGAAUAACCCGGCGAAAGUCGGACUAAUACCGCAUAAACAGGGGCACCGCAUGGUGAUAUUUGUUAAAGAGAUUCGCUGAUAGAUGGGCAUGCGUUCCAUUAGGUAGUUGGUGAGGUAACGGCUCACCAAGCCGACGAUGGAUAGGGGAACUGAGAGGUUGGUCCCCCACACUGGUACUGAGACACGGACCAGACUCCUAUGGGAGGCAGCAGUGAGGAAUAUUGGUCAAUGGGCGGGAGCCUGAACCAGCCAAGUCGCGUGAAAGGAAGAAGGAUCUAUGGUUCGUAAACUUCUUUUGCAGGGGAAUAAAGUGCAGGACGUGCCCUGUUUUGUAUGUACCCUGAGAAUAAGGAUCGGCUAACUCCGUGCCAGCCGCUGC